rnacentral:rRNA from 13 species
CGCAACGAGCGCAACCCUUGUUCACUGUUGCCAGCACGUUAUGGUGGGGACUCAGUGGAGACCGCCGGGGUCAACUCGGAGGAAGGUGGGGAUGACGUCAAGUCAUCAUGCCCCUUAUGUCCAGGGCUUCACGCAUGCUACAAUGGCCGGUACAAAGGGUUGCGAUACUGUGAGGUGGAGCUAAUCCCAAAAAGCCGGUCUCAGUUCGGAUUGGGGUCUGCAACUCGACCCCAUGAAGUCGGAAUCGCUAGUAAUCGCGGAACAGCAUGCCGCGGUGAAUACGUUCCCGGGCCUUGUACACACCGCCCGUCACACCAUGGGAGUUGGAUCUACCCGAAGAUUGUGAGCUAACUUCGGAGGCAGCAAGCCACGGUAGGUUCAGCGACUGGGGUGAAGUCGUAACAAGGUAGCCGUAGGGGAACCUGCGGCUGGAUCACCUCCUU